rnacentral:rRNA from 1 species
AUGAACGCUGGCGGCGUGCCUAAUACAUGCAAGUCGAGCGAACAGACGAGGAGCUUGCUCCUCUGACGUUAGCGGCGGACGGGUGAGUAACACGUGGAUAACCUACCUAUAAGACUGGGAUAACUUCGGGAAACCGGAGCUAAUACCGGAUAAUAUAUUGAACCGCAUGGUUCAAUAGUGAAAGACGGUUUUGCUGUCACUUAUAGAUGGAUCCGCGCCGCAUUAGCUAGUUGGCAAGGUAACGGCUUACCAAGGCGACGAUGCGUAGCCGACCUGAGAGGGUGAUCGGCCACACUGGAACUGAGACACGGUCCAGACUCCUACGGGAGGCAGCAGUAGGGAAUCUUCCGCAAUGGGCGAAAGCCUGACGGAGCAACGCCGCGUGAGUGAUGAAGGUCUUCGGAUCGUAAAACUCUGUUAUUAGGGAAGAACAAAUGUGUAAGUAACUAUGCACGUCUUGACGGUACCUAAUCAGAAAGCCACGGCUAACUACGUG